GGAGGUGAAUGGGGCCUGGUGGUUUCCGCAGACUUCAAAUCUGUAGUGGGUCAAGUAUGCUUGGCCUGGGUGGGUUCGAUUCCUACACAUCUCCGCCA
rnacentral:tRNA from 2 species